rnacentral:misc_RNA from 1 species
GGAAAAGGGCAUGGUUCUGCGCCAUCGAUGUGAAGUCGAAGCCCUGCAGCGGAGAAGAAGUAGCAGCAGCAGCCCCGCCAAAGGAGGCAAACGACAUGGCAAAUGCUUGAGAAGUUGUGAGAUCCACCUUCAUAGACUGGUGUUGUGUUGGCUGUUGCUGCUUUUCACUGUGAUUCCCGCUGCUACCGAGAGCUGCUACAGCAGGGGAUAUCAAUGUGAAAUUUUGUG